rnacentral:rRNA from 1 species
CUACGGGAGGCAGCAGUGGGGAAUAUUGCGCAAUGGGCGGAAGCCUGACGCAGCGACGCCGCGUGGGGGAUGACGGCCUUCGGGUUGUAAACCUCUUUCGACCUCGACGAAGCGUAAGUGACGGUAGGGGUAGAAGAAGCACCGGCCAACUACGUGCCAGCAGCCGCGGUAACACGUAGGGUGCGAGCGUUGUCCGGAAUUAUUGGGCGUAAAGAGCUCGUAGGCGGUGUGUCGCGUCGGCCGUGAAAACCUGUGGCUUAACCAUGGGCUUGCGGUCGAUACGGGCAUCACUGGAGUUCGGCAGGGGAGACUGGAAUUCCUGGUGUAGCGGUGAAAUGCGCAGAUAUCAGGAGGAACACCGGUGGCGAAGGCGGGUCUCUGGGCCGAUACUGACGCUGAGGAGCGA